UAAUACGAAGGGGGCUAGCGUUGUUCGGAAUUACUGGGCGUAAAGGGCGCGUAGGCGGCGCAUCAAGUCAGGCGUGAAAGCCCCGGGCUUAACCUGGGAACUGCGUUUGAGACUGGUGUGCUUGAGUUCGGGAGAGGUGAGUGGAAUUCCCAGUGUAGAGGUGAAAUUCGUAGAUAUUGGGAAGAACACCGGUGGCGAAGGCGGCUCACUGGACCGAUACUGACGCUGAGGCGCGAAAGCGUGGGGAGCAAACAGGAUUAGAUACCCUGGUAGUCCACGCUGUAAACGAUGUGUGCUAGACGCUGGGGAGCCUAGCUCUUCGGUGUCGCAGCUAACGCUUUAAGCACACCGCCUGGGGAGUACGGCCGCAAGGUUA
rnacentral:rRNA from 1 species